GUGCCAGCCGCCGCGGUAAUACGGAGGGUGCAAGCGUUAAUCGGAAUUACUGGGCGUAAAGCGCGCGUAGGUGGUUUGGUAAGUCGGAUGUGAAAGCCCCGGGCUUAACCUGGGAAUUGCAUUCGAUACUGCUUGACUAGAGUGUGGUAGAGGGAAGUGGAAUUCCGCAUGUAGCGGUGAAAUGCGUAGAGAUGCGGAGGAACACCAAUGGCGAAGGCAACUUCCUGGACCAACACUGACACUGAGGUGCGAAAGCGUGGGUAGCAAACAGGAUUAGAUACCCCGGUAGUCC
rnacentral:rRNA from 1 species